ACGAUCUUUAUAAAGUUGUUUGAAGUGUCUAUGAUAAACAGAGAGCAAAUUAGAAUGCUGGGAAGUUGACAUGUCGUCACUUCAUUUUUUUGCGCCUGCGCAUAAAUCUGAGAAGCGUGAGUUUGUCAUAAUUGUUUAUCUAGACAUAGGAUAGGUUGUGUGAAAAUAUUACUGAUGUUUAACGUUAAAAAUGGACCAAAAGAUUAAUGCUAAACAACGUUUGACAUGUUUGAACGAACGUAAAUAGAUUAUUUACUAGGUUUUUUUAGCUUUUCGGCGUGAUUUUACACCCCCCCACCACGUUUUGUGGGCGCAUAAUGAACGCUAACUACUUGGUGUUAUUUGGACAUAAAUUAUGAACUUUGUCAAAAGAAACCACAUUUAUUCUGGACCUUGGAUUGCUGGCAGUGCCUUCUGAUGGAGAUAAUCAAAGUGACAAACAGAGCUGGGAGAUUCGUAUGAAGAGGGCCUGAUUUCCCAGCGAGGCAAACACGCUGUUUGUGCGUGUGUGUGUGUGUGUGUGUUGGAUUGGCGUGUGCUUUGUGUGUGUGUGUGUGUGUGUGUGUGUGUGUGUGUGUGUGUGUGUGUGUGUGUGUGUGUGUGUGUGUGCAUAUAGGAUCAGGGAGGCGAAACACACUGCUAAUUGCUAUCUAGGCCACAGACUGGUAACAGCAGGCUACGUCUGCACACUGUGACCGAGGGGAUAAAUACACAAACAGAGAGAUUCACCCGAGGACCAGAGAUACAAAAACAACAACCUGAGAGCAAAGGAGAUUAAUCAAACCUGUGUGUGGAGCUUUUGUGAAUACUGAAGGUAGUAUUCUUUGUGUGCGUGUGUGUUUGCUUUUGCUAAGCAGAAUGAAUGCUAUACUCUUUGCUAUGUUCUUUGCUAUGUCAAAUCAAAUCAAAAUCAAAUAAUGUAUGUUCCCAUCCAUGAUUACUCCAUUAAUGUUUGUACAUUAUACACAGAAUUUAUGACAAUGUUUAGGGUGAGAGACAAUAAUGACCAGAUUUUGAUGACAGACAGUUUUUGCCUCUAUCUCUGUGUUCUGUAUUCCUUGUUGUAUAAUUGCACAGUUGCUGUGGAGGAGUAGUUGUAGGUCAAACAGAUACCGUCUGACUGGACUCAGUAGAUAUUUACCUCAUUGAGUCACCUUUGACAAGAGCAUCUGCUAAAGCAAAAUAAUAAUUUGCCAGAGUGCAGGCAUUUUUCUCUCGUUCGCUCACUCUCUCAUUCUCUCACUCUCUCUCACUCCCCCAUCCCUCUCUCUCUCGCUCUCCUUCUCUCCAUCUGUUUCUCUCUCUAUCCCCCAUCCCUCUCUCUCUCUCUCUCUCUCUCUCCCUCCCUCUCUCUCUCCCCCUUCCCUCUAUCUCUCUCCUUCUCUCCCUCUGUUUCUCUCUCUCUCUGUAUUGUAGUGAUUUGGCUGAACAUGUCGGUAUGCUACUAUAGCUGAAUCCGAUCAUGCUGAAAGCCAGGGUGUUUAUUGUUGUAGCCUGGGUGCUUAUUGUUGUAGCCUGGGUGCUUAUUGUUCUAGCCUGGGUGCUCAGCAGAGUCUUUGUAAGGGGAGCUCAACAGCUCCAAAACCUGGUGCCCCCUGCCUCCCCUAACUGAAGAGGCUGAGGAUGCUGCUCCCACUACAGAUACAGGGGGAAACCAGACUCUGGAGAGGAGGAGGAGGAGUGUGGAGAGAUAAGGAAGAAAAGGAGGGAGGGAGGGUGAGAGGGAAGAGAGGGGAAGAGAGAGAGAGGGAGAGAAGAGAGAACCAUGAAAGAUGCAGCAAUUGUAAUAUAUACUGUCAUUCAUUACAUAUAUCCGAGAAGACCUGAUCCAGCUAUCAAACCUCUUCGCCCCUAUUGAGACGGACCUACCAGCCACGGGAGUCAGCACGGCCGCCCAGUAGCACCCUUCCCCACAGCCACGAUCCUUCAGCAAGUCACUUCCCUAUCGGAUUUCAGCAUGACCACCAUCGUUGUGGGCAGCUCGAUGGUAAGAGAUUUUGGCCUGCCUACGAUCUGUGGACUGAUGAAGGUCCACUGUCUCCCAGGAGCCCGUGUCCAUGACAUCAACUCCCUGUUGCCCACGGUUCUGGCCAACUACUCCAAUAUUGACACCAUCGUCAUUCAUGUAGGUUUUAACGACCUUCGUUUUAGGCGAUCUGAGGAACUGAGGGAGACCCUCACUAGCACAGGGAAGAUAAUAAUUAUAUCUGGGCCCCUCCCGUUCUACUGAAGGGGUUCUGAAUGUUUCAGACAACUCUUUGCCCCAAACGAGUACCUGAAGAAACUUUGCAACGACAGGAAUGUCUCUUUUUGUGACAACUUUGAUUUGCUGUCGGAGCAACCAGCACUUUUUAAAACAGACGGGAUUCACCCUAACCGCAGGGGUUCCAGGAUUAUUUCCAGCAACAUCGCAAACUAUUUUAGAGACUUGAGAGACAAGGUCUGGUAGUGCUCCAGUUCUCCCUGUCAGAAUAAGCAACAGAGGACUUGGAAAGCAUAUCAGCUCCUGUAGAAAUGGCACUAUAGUUAUUGUGAGUAACCUAAUUUAUGUUCCUUUAACUCCGCCGUCUAGUGAGUUUAUACAAACUGUCAUCUCCUACCAUUCCGAUAGAUUGGAGACAGUCAGAAAGUGUGGUUGUCACAAUCAUUUGAUUGUUAUUGCAUUGGUUACCUCGAGUGGCCCACACUCAUUGAAUAUGGCACUUUUAAAUGUUAGAGCAAUCACUAGUAAAACCUUUCUCGUUAAUGACCUCAUUACUGAGUGCAGUUGAUUGCAUGUUUCUCACUGAAACAUGGCUGUCUUCAGACUGUAGUGCCACUCUUAUUGAAGCCUCCUCCCCUGACUACAGCUUUUCAUAUUCUAUCAAAAGACUUUGGAUCUUUUGAGCAUCAUGCUUUACUGUGUAAAUGUCAGCCACCAGUGCUGGCUAUAACCCUGUAUAGACCACUAAAGCAUUGCCUUACUUUCUUUACUGAUUGAUCUGAAUUAUUGUCUAUUAUCCUUGAGAACUAUGAUACAAUCAUUGUGUUGUGCAGUUUUAAUAUUUAAUAUGUGAUGUUAAUAUGUUGUCAUCAAGGCAAAGGGUGGUUACUUUGAAGAAUCUCAAAUAUAAAAUAUAUUUUGAUUUGAACAACUUUUUUUGGUUACUACAUGAUUCCAUAUGUGUUAUUUCAUAGUUUUGAUGUCUUCACUAUUAUUCUACAAUGUAGAAAAUAGUGAAAAAAAUAAAGAAAAACCCUUGAAUAAGUAGGUGUGUCCAAACGUUUGACUGGUACUGUAUAACAAGGCAAUUAGAAAUACCAGACAGGCUCAUUUUUAUAACUUAAUCACUAAUAAUCAGAAUAAUUUGAGAGUGCUCAUCUCGGCCAUUGAUGGCCUGAUAAAUCCUACCCCCCGCAAAACCUAUAAGAACGUUUGUGCACAUCUAAAUGUGAUGAGUUUGCGGCAUAUUUCAGAGAUAAGAUAACAAACAUUAGGCUACUUCUAAAGAAGUACUAGCUAUUGUUAAUCACUCCCUGUUCACAGGUACUUUCCCCACUGCACUAGAAACCUGUUAUGAUGAUGAAUCAAAAUGAUGGCACAUUUAAGGUUGAAGCACAUCCCUAACACCCAGACAGAUGUCAAGAACUUGGGAACCUCUCAGCCACCAGGAACAUCAUCUUGUUCUUGGAGUUUAUUCACAAGGCACUUGGUGGAGAUGAAUACAACAAUAAUCCAUGGCAGGACAUUUCCCUGCACCCAGAUGGAGCCCUGCUACCAGCAGGAACAUGGAGCACGCCAUGUCACUAAGUCAUGCCUUUUUCACAAAGGUGCUACAGAGACAUAAUAUUCAAAUGACCUCCAGAGCCCCCAGACGAACUACCUGAGAUCUCUUCAGGGCACAGAGAAGUGAGUCUGCUGGGUCAUGGAACUCUAGAGCAGCACAUCAAAACACCUGCCACCCUGUUGUCAGCUAUCAGCAGACAGUUCCCUGAGGAAGGAUGCAACUAUCAAGGCUUUAAAAUUGUCAAAUGUGGGGGAUGAUCACCAAAUGCAAUAAAGUUUGGUAGAACCUACUCAUGUUCAUUGUUUUGUAGGUUACAACACAAAACUUUAUUAGUCUGUUCUUAUUUUUACUAACUACUCCGGUAACUUAAACAUCUGACAACAUGCAGACUUUUUCCAUCAUGACAACACUUAGAGCUUAUGAUUUAUUUUUUUAUGAAUCAAUGAAAGUAUCGUAUCCAGGGUGAAUACUGUACAUUUGUAUUCAGGUAUAUAAAAUAUCACACAGACAACUAAAAUAUAUUUCCCAGACAAGACUGAAGUAUAGGACAAAUAGGUUGCAUUUGGACAAGCAGCACAAGUCUGAUCUUUUUUUCCCUAAUUGGUCUUUUGACCAAUCACAUCAGCUCUGAAAAACCAAUGUGAUUGGUCAAAAGACCAAUUAGUGGAAAAAAUAUCAGAAUGGUGCUGCGAGUCUAAACAUAGCCAGAGAUAAGUGAAUAUGAGUCAGGUGUUGUGUUCAUAGCAGUUUCUAUGAAUUUGAGUUGUUAAAUACACUACAUGAUAAAUGGCUACGAGACAGAGAUAAGGAGACUCUUGUUGUAAUCAAAGGGAAGGUACCAUUGAAGGCCCCAGUAUUCAGGCAGGCAGCUUGAAGCAGUGGCUUGAUAGAGAGAUGACACAUUUAUUAUGUACCUUUCAUCACCAAAGCCAUGUUAACAUUUACAGCACACAUUUCUCAACAAUCCGACCAUUUUGUUGGUAUUAUUGAUCUAAAAUGGGCAAUUCACACACAAUAUCCAAUUCAUAAGCAUUGACUAAUACCUCUAGGGUCCUGUGGUGGUCUGGUAGCAUGCUGCUUUCUAGUGAUCUUACUCCCUCUCCACCAUAUCAAAAACAGGAACAACAAUACGCCUAGUCAGGCAAUAACUUGGCAAACUAGGCUAAUUAAACACAACAAGUAAAUGUGUACAUGAGCCAAAUGAUACCCAACCAGUACAGCCUAGUUGUCUAUUUGCAGUGAAAUUGAGGAAUGGGGACAUUUUUCUUGCGAACUUCUUCAGUCACCAAUUAAUACAUAAACAGGCAGUGGAAUGAAGUAAUUUGACAAAAAAAAUGAACAGGAAAAUGAAACAAAGGUCAUUAACAAGUCUUUAAAAUAUAUCUAGUAAAUAUAGCUAUAGUUUUAAUAGUUUUUAUUUUCUAUAAACCAAGCUAAAAUGAGCUACACUGCAGUGAUGAUGGUGGGAGUUAGCUAACUACCUUUCCCCCAGCAGUUUCAAUUUAGCUAGCUAUUUUGCUAGCUAAUUACAUUUAUAUCAACUUUAUCAAUCAGAUGGUUAACUAGCAAAUAUAUUUGUUUUCUCCUCGCAUCUAACGUUGCCUGAUAAAGCUAGCCAGUUGAUAGUAAAGCAAGGAUGAAUGUCGGGCCAGCAAGCUAACGUAAUAACAGCUGUUAAUAAAAUGGCUGAUCUGGAGUUUGUCUGAAAUGUAGCUACCAUUAUAUUUCAGAUGAUAAGCAAACUACUGUCAAGCAACCCCCCCCCCCCCCCC
rnacentral:lncRNA from 1 species